GGGUGCGAUCAUACCAAGACUAAUGCAACAGAUCCCAUCAGAAAUCUACAGUUAAGCGUGCUUGGGCGAGAGUAGUACUAGGAUAGUUGACCUCCUGGGAAGUCCUCGUGUUGCAUCCC
rnacentral:rRNA from 1 species